AGGACGAACGCUGGCGGCGUGCUUAACACAUGCAAGUCGAGCGGAAAGGCCCUUCGGGGUACUCGAGCGGCGAACGGGUGAGUAACACGUGAGUAAUCUGCCCCUAUGCUCUGGGAUAGCUCCGGGAAACCGGGAUUAAUACCAGAUACGACCACUUUAGACAUCUGUUGUGGUGGAAAGAAUUUUGGCUAGGGAUGAGCUCGCGGCCUAUCAGCUUGUUGGUGAGGUAACGGCUCACCAAGGCGACGACGGGUAGCCGGCCUGAGAGGGCGACCGGCCACACUGGGACUGAGACACGGCCCAGACUCCUACGGGAGGCAGCAGUGGGGAAUAUUGCGCAAUGGGCGAAAGCCUGACGCAGCGACGCCGCGUGGGGGAUGAAGGCCUUCGGGUUGUAAACCCUUUCAGCAGGGACGAAGCGAAAGUGACGGUACCUGCAGAAGAAGCGCCGGCUAACUACGUGCCAGCAGCCGCGGUAA
rnacentral:rRNA from 1 species